rnacentral:tRNA from 1 species
CAGCCAGUGGCGGAGUGGUCAAAUGCAUCUUCGUAUAAAGGAUACUAUCACUGGCUCGAAUCCUGUCUGGUUGG